rnacentral:lncRNA from 1 species
CGCUCUUAAUCCCCCAUAAGUCCAUGGAAGAUAUUAUGAUUGAUGGAUAUUUUAUACCAAAGAAGUCACGAAUCAUAGUAAAUACUUGGUCGAUAGGGCGAGACCUUGAUGUAUGGUCAAACAAUGCUGAAGAGUUCUUUCCAGAGAGAUUCAUCGAUAGCAAUAUCGACCUUCGAGGACAAGAUUUCCAACUCAUCCCAUUCGGAUCAGGUCGUAGAGGAUGCCCUGGAAUGCAAUUAGGCCUAAUAACAAUUCGCCUAGUGUCAGCUCAAUUGGUACAGUGCUUUGACUGGGAGUUGCCUGUUGAACUGGACAUGAGCGAAAAAUUUGGCCUCUCAAUGCCAAGGGCGAAUCCUUUUUUAGUGAAGGCAACUUAUCGUUACUUGAUAAUAGAAUGUAAAAUAAAUAGGAAAAAAAGAAUCUAACUGUAUAUGUUCUUUUUUUUGCCUAAACAAGUUCAUUUUAUUAAUAAUGAUAAAAUUAAUGGCUACAAGCCUCAGAGUUCAAAUGGUUUAAUUGGAAUAAAAGAAAGUCACUUGAAAGCACCCAAAAGUCAAUGUCCAGUCGGGCCAAAAAACAGAGUCACUAGAACAGGUAAGGGUGACACAUCCCUCUAGACAAAAGAUCAACAGUAGCAACAAUGAGAAUGUACAAUCAUUAAAACAUCCCCUCAUCGAUAUAUCAACGGCACAUGCAUUAGAAGAAUUUACAGAACACAUUCACAAGAGAACAUUAUCAACACAAAAUCUCUGAGGGUGAGAAUACAACAUCAGUGUCGAAAUUAGGCCUCCCAACACUUGCAGUCUUCGAGCAUGCUGUGGCAGUCUGCGAGCAAGGAGGUUUGCUGUUUUGCAACUUCUUUUUUCUUUUUUUUUGUAUUUUCAUAGAAUUUUCAUUCUAACAAAACCAAUAACAAAAUUGAUGAGAAAAAAAUGGGUUACAAAAAUUAACAUAAAUAUUUUUAAAAUGAUGUGGUCAUUUAAGUGGUUUUUAUAUUAUUAUUUUAUUAUUUAUUUAAAUGAAAUCACAUAUGAUGAUCAAUUACACUUUUAAUAAAUUUAAUAAUUAAAUUAAGAUAAAUUAAAAUUUGAUAAACAAAACGAGAAAAGAGAUAUAAAUUUGAUAACAAUCUAUGAAAUUUAAUCAUGCACUACUAGUAAAAAAACUCAAUAGAUUUUGGGUAUCAAAGGAUGGAUUUAUAUUUGAUACACAAAUAGCCUAUAGCUUUUAUACACUGUCAGGGCAUAAUAUGGUGCUACCAAAAGUCAGCUUUACCAUAAAGCUACCAUAGCCCUUGUUUUAAAUCUCAAUUUUUUAUGGACCUCAUAGUUUUAUAAUAAUAUAAUUAAUUAUAUUAAAAAUAUAUAAAAAUUAAAAUAAUUAAUAAUAUAUUUCUUAAAUUAAGUGCCUAACUAAUAUCUAUUUUCUCUUGCUUCACACAUCUUAUCAAUUAUCAACUAUUUAUCUCAUUUCUUAUUAAAAAUAUUUAAAAGUUAAGAUAAUUAAUAAAAUGAUAUAUUCUCUCACUUAUCUAAUUAUAUGUCUAAUAAAUCUCUAUUUUUUAUCAUUUUUCAAUUCCUACAAUACUAUUAAUUCUCAAUUAUUUUUCAUAUUUUCAAUCAACGGUAAUAUGUAUUUAAUAAUCUCCAACUAACAAUAAAUUUUUGGAUAAAAUACCCCCACCCUUUAAAUUUUUAUCAAAAUUUCAAUGGGUCUAUUAGUUUUCAAAAUGGACACUUUGUCCUAGAAAAAUAUUAUCCGCUAGACACAUAGGUCUAGGCGUUAGUCAACGGUUAGUUUUUUCAUUAGAUUGAUGACGUGGUCAUAUUAAAAUGAUAAUUUUACCUUUUACUAAUUUUAAAAAUUAUUAUUAUAUAAUUUUAUUAAUUUAUUAUUAUUAUUAUUAUAUAUUAAUUUAAAAAAUAGGAGGGAGAUCGGUACUCUCUUUUCUUGGAGAGUUAGGGAGCAUCGUAUUUUUUUAUAUAUAUUUUUAAAUAUAAUAAGAAUUUUUUAAAUUAAUAAAGAAAAAAGAACAUUUUAGUCAUUUCAUAGCCUUUGUUAAUAGUGUUUACACUUUCUAAGUGAGUGUUCAUUUCAAAAACUAAUGGACUUCUUUAGAAUUUCGAUUAAAACUUAAGGAUGUGAGGUAUUUUGCCCUUAUUUUUUUUAAUUUCAAUUAAAAAAGUCUCAUUUGAAUAUUUAGACAUUUUAAGCCUUUAAGAUUAUUGAGUUGCCCUAGUGCACAUCACUAAGAAAUAAAUUUAUAACUUUAAAGGAUUUCAAAAUAAAUAUUAUUAUUUUAAAAAAAUAAGAAAAAAAAUUCUCUCUUAAACUCCCUUACAUCCAAUCUCUUCCUCCCCUUCCCUUGUUCUUUUUUCUCCUAUUCUUCCUCCCUUAACAAUAAUGAGUCCAAAACCGUAAAUUUUUAAUUUUGAUUCUUGAUAUUUAUUUCACUCUUCUUUUUUAAAUUACUUCCAAAAAAUAAAAAUGGAUUUAAUACUUUCAUCUCAGUUUGUUCAAUAAUGGCUUGCCUUGAAAUAUGUUGAAUAAAAUGGAUAAAUAUAUUGAAGGCAAUUGGAAAAAGUAAAAAGAAAAACAACUAAAAAUUCUAAAGAAAUAUAAUUGUCUUAUGAAAGAUAUAAAGUUAACAAGUCAUACAAAAAUUUCACGUGUCUUCAUCUUUGAAUCCAAGCAAGAAAUAGAUCAAUUUGUACAUAUGAAUACUAAUCAAUUAGGAUUUGCUAAUGCAAUGAUUGGUUGUUGUGGCACGAGGAUAUUGUAGGUAUCAUACUCGUGUAACCAAUUCAUUUGAUAGGUUUAAUCAAAAAAUCAAUUGUGUUAAAAAAUAAAAAAAUUUAGGGUUUUGGAUCUAUGGUUGAGGGAAGGAGAGAAGGAAAUUGAGAUUGAUAUUUUUUUUUAAUUUUUAAAAGUAAUUAAUAAUAUUUAUUUUUAAAUAUCUUAACAUUAUAAAUUUAUUUUUUUAAUAAAAUAACAUCAUUUGAUAUUUUAACAGUGUAUAAAAAAUAUACACUAUCAAUACAUCAAAUAUAUAUAAACACUGUCAAGACAUCAUUUGAAACAUUUUUCGAAUGCUUCUUAACAUUAACCACGUGGGUUCAUCUCAUCUUCUCUAAAUAAAAAGAAAAAAUAACAAAAUCAUCUUAUUAAUUAGUGCCCGAAAGCAUAAGCUCGUUAAUUUACUGGAUAAAUCUGAUUUUGACACAUGCUUUUCAAGCUUCUAGGUACUGCCCUUUCCCAACCACACAUUGACGAGUCCCCUGCCCACAUGUCUCCUUCAGCAUUAGCCUUACUUCUUAUCCUCCUCGGAACUCUCUGUUCCUUUAUCUACGUCUCUCGACCAAAACGCCUCAAAAAUGGCCGGAAACUUCCUCCCGGUCCGCGCCCCCUGCCGGUAAUCGGUAACCUCCAUCUGCUAGGAAAGCUUCCACACCUAAAUCUUCACCAUCUAGCCAAAAGAUAUGGCCCCAUCAUGUUAUUAAGGCUAGGCUAUGUACCCACAAUCGUGGUAUCAUCACCUCAAGCCGCCGAACUAUUCCUCAAGACCCAUGACGUUGUUUUUGCAAGCAGGCCCAAAGUCCAAGCCUCGGAAUACUUGUCGUUCGGUGGGAAAGGCAUGGGUUUUACCGAGUACGGUUCCUACCGGCGAACUGUUCGGAAAUGGUGUACUCUACACCUUCUCAGUGGUGUAGAUAUUUUUAAAAUGAUGUGGUCAUUUAAGUGGUUUUUAUAUUAUUAUUUUAUUAUUUAUUUAAAUGAAAUCAGAUAUGAUGAUCAGUUACACUUUUAAAAAUUUAGUAAUUAAAUUAAGAUAAAUUAAAAUUUGAUAAGCAAAACGAGAAAAGAGAUAUAAAUUUGAUAACAAUCUAUGAAACUUAAUUGAGCACUACCGAUACAAAAACUCAAUAGAUUGUUGGUAUCAAAGCAUGGAUUUAUAUUUGAUACACCAAUAGCCUAUAGUUUUCAUAAACUGUCAAGGCAUAAUAUGGUGCAACCCAAAGCCGGCUUUACCAUAAAGCCACCAUAGCCUUUGUUUUAAAUCUCAAUUUUUUAUGGAUCUCAUAAUUUUAUAAUAAUAUAAUUAAUUAUAUUAAAGAUAUAUAAAAAUUAAAAUAAUUAAUAAAAUAUUUCUUAAAUUAAGUGCCUAACAAAUAUCUAUAUUCUCUCACUUCGCACAUCUUAUUAAUUAUCAACUAUUUAUCUCAUUUUCUAUUAAAAAUAUGUAAAAGUUAAAACAAUUAAUAAAAUGAUAUAUUCUCUCACUUCUUUAAUUAUGUGUCUAAUAAAUCUUUAUUUUUUAUCACUUUUCAAUUUUUACAAUGCUAUCAAUGCUCAAUUAUUUUUCAUAUUUUCAAUCAACGGUAAUAUGUAUUUAAUAAUCUCCAACUAAUAAUGAAUUUUUGAGUAAAAUACCCCCACCUCCUAAAUUUUAAUCGAAAUUUCAAAUAAAUCUAUUAGUUUUUAAAAUAGAUACUUCAUCUCAGAAAAAUAUCUUCCACUGGAUACAUAAAUUCAACUGUUAGUCAACCGUUAGUUUUUUCGUUAGAUUGAUGAUGUGGUCAUAUUGAAAUGAUAAUUUUACCCUUUACUAAUUAUAAAAAUUACUAUUAUAUAAUUUUUAUUAAUUUGUUAUUAUUUUUUAAUUAAUUUAAAAAAUAAGAGGGAGAUCGGUAAAAUUUAUAAAUUUUAUUCAUAAUUAUAAAAUAUAUAAUUUUUAUAAAUUUAUAAAUUUUAACAAUAAUGAAUCCAAAACCCCAAAUUUUUAAUUUUGAGUCUUGAAGAUAAUAUUUAUUUCACUCUUCUUCUUAGUUUAAUUCUUAAUAUUUAUUUCACUCUUCUUUUUUAAAUUACUUCUAAAAAAUGAAAAUGGAUUUAAUACUUUCAUGUCAGUUUGUUCAACAAUGGCUUGCCUUGAAAAAUGGUUGAGAAAAGGAGAUUGAGAUUGAUAUUUUUUUAAUUUUUAAAAAUAAUUAGUAAUAUUUAUUUUUAAACUCCUUAAAAUUAUAAAUUUAUUUUUUAAUGAGAUAGCAUCAUUUGAUAUCUUAACAGUGUAUAGAAAAUAUACUCUAGCAGUGCAUUAAAUAUAUAUAUAAACACUGUCAAGACAUCAUUUGAAACAUUUUUCGAAUGCUUCUUAACAUUAACCACAUGGGUUCAUCUCAUCUUCUCUAAAUAAAAAGAAUAAAUAACAAAAUCAUCUAUAACACAAGUAAAAGAAAUCCUUAAAAAGGGCUUCCAAGUUUAGCCACGUUGUGACUUUUUUUGGAUGACAUCUGUUCAGAAUAUAUUUAAUAUUAUUUUAUUUGUUUUUUUUUUUAAAGUUGAUGAAUUUCAUUAAUAGAAAAACAAAGAUAAGUUCCUUAGAUACAAAAACAAAGCACACUAUGCCUUGAUCAUCAUAUCAUCUCAAAAUUAUGUUGACAACCUGCCCAAGAGAAGCCAUCAAAAAAUAGAUCACCAAAAACAAACAUCCCUAUCAUCAAUUUAUAGACAGAAGAAGAUUCAACCCCAGCAUAAAGCCAUAAAGUCAUACCAAAAUCCCCCUGCUCAGUAAUUCAUUCUAGAUCAAUAAAAAACAGGUUGCAAUCCAAUCUAAAAUUCUGAAAUCUAGAUCACACGUCUUUACAAGUAAUCACAGCAUCUCAUUCAAAAGACUCCAUAUCAUCUUAGUAUUAUUUGAUUUGUAGAGGAUGCAUGUGUGGUAUUUUCUUUUUAUGCUCACUAAAACCAACUCACACUCUGGCUUUCAUUCAAUUGAGUCCUACUCCAGAAAACAUCAAUAGGCAAGGAAGCAAAGUAAAAGCCACUCCAAAAGAAAAAGCCCAAAAAAAGUGAAAAAAACUUGCACCUCCAGAGGAACGGUGGCUAGGUCUUGUUAGAAAGAGAGGAAAUUGGCGGUAGAAAGAAGGGGAAGAGAAGAAAAGAAGAAAAUGGGAAAGGGAAAGAAAGAGGGAGUUGUUGCCGAAAAUGCCCAGUUCGGCAUAGGCGACGGCAUCAGGGGCCAAGUUCGGGAGAAAGGGUUUAGAGAAACGGGUUGGUUGCUAGGGUCAGUGGGAGAAGAAGAAGAAGAGAGCAAAAACGAAGAAAAGGGAAAGGGGUUGCCAGCUACGUUUAGGGAAAAUCAAAACCACGUCGUUUUAUGGAUACAAAAAGAAGAAAAAGAAGAAGUGGGUUGGAUUCACUCAAGCCCUAACCGAUGCAAUUUUAGAUUUAGUCAAUUUAUUUUAUUUAUAUAAUUCUUUUUUAUCUAUAAAUUAAAUUUAUAAAAUUACGGAUAAAAAAAAUUAAACUAUUUUUUUUAUGAGAAAUAAAAAAUAAAACAGUUUAUUGAAUGAAGUUAACAAUGACUCAUUAAAAUUAUCGGGGAUCCCAAAAUUAUUUUCACAAGGUGGAUUAAUUCUAAAUAAAUAUAAAAGUAUAAGAUAAAAAAAUAAUAAUUAAAAUUAAAGAAAAUUCAUAAAAUUUCAUAAUUAAAAUUAAAAAAUUUUAAUAUGAGUUAUUAAUAUGCAUUUUAUUUUGACUUUCAAAAGAAAUAAUCAUUUUAUUAUAUAACUUAUGUAGCUUUUUUUUUGCUACCCAUAUAAAUUAUGUAGCUUAUGAAUAAUAACUUUCAAUAAAUUAAAUUUUCUUAAUUUUAAUUUUAUUUUACUAUUGGAAUCAUCAUAAUUAACAAAAUAUGAUUAUAUUAAUAUUAAUAUAUAUUAAGAUAUAAAAAAUAAAUAUUUUUAAAAAUUAUUUAAAUAAAAAAUUUUACUUAGUAAGACAUAGGAAAAUCUUUUUAAAAUAUCAAUUUUUUAAAAUAAUAAGCUUUAAUUUAUUAUGAUUACUAUUAUUUAUAAUUUUUUUCAAAUUUAAAAUUACUUUUUAAUUAUUAUUAUUUUAUUUAUAAUAUUAUGAAAUUUAAAAUUAUUCUUUAUUAAAAAAAUUAACCCCAUGCAAAGCGGGGCACCACUCUAGUCUUAUUAAUUAGUGCCCGAAAACAGAAGUUCAUUAAUUUACUGGAUAAAUCUAAUAUUGACACAUGCUUUUCAAGCUUUUAGGUAUUGCCCUUUCCCAACCACACACUGACGAUUCCCCUACCCACAUGUCUCCUUCAACAUUAGCCUUACUUCUUAUCCUCCUCGGAACUCUCUGUUCCUUUAUCUACAUCUCUCGGCCAAAACAACUCAAAAAUGGCCGGAAACAUCCUCCCGGUCCCCGGCCCUUGCCGGUAAUCGGUAACCUCCAUCUGCUAGGAAAGCUUCCACACCUAAAUCUUCACCAUCUAGCCAAAAGAUAUGGCCCCAUCAUGUUAUUAAGGCUAGGCUAUGUACCUACAAUCGUGGUAUCAUCACCUCAAGCCGCCGAACUAUUCCUCAAGACCCAUGACGUUGUUUUUGCAAGCAGGCCCAAAGUCCAAGCCUCUGAAUACUUGUCUUACGGUGGGAAAGGCAUGGGUUUCACCGAGUACGGUUCCUACUGGCGAACUGUUCGGAAAUGGUGUACUCUACACCUUCUCAGUGGUUCGAAAGUUGAAUACUUUGCCCCAUUAAGGAAGGCGGAGCUGGGGUCGAUGGUUGAAACGGUAAAGAAGGCAGCGGCAGCAGGUGAGACGGUGGACAUUAGCCGAAAGGUAGGUGAGCUUAUCGAAGACAUCAUGUAUAAGAUGAUUUUUGGGCGCCCCUCCAAUUCUGAGGAUGACAAUAUCAACUUGAAACUGCUGAUUAAAGAGAUCUCGCGCUUAGCGGGAGCUUUCAAUUUGUCGGAUUUCGUACCUUGUCUUGCUCCACUUGACCUUCAGGUAAUCUCUAUUCUUUUCUCCAUUAUUGUUUACUAUUAUUUUCUCAAUGUCUCUUUCAUUCGUAUUGACACUUGAUAAUGGAAUAGUCAUUUCGAGAAAUGGUCAAUUUGAGGGGGUGGUUAGAUAUUAUCUGGAAGAGUUAGGUAUUAUCGAGCUUCUGAUAAUGACUAUUCCGAACAGAUAAGAAUAAGAAAAAUGAUUUGACAAAAUUACACCAUACAAUUUCAAAAAUUAGUCCAUAAGAAGGAUUGCCCGGUGUCAACCAUUCAUUCAUGUCACAUCAACUAUUAAAUAAAAUACUCAAUUUUAAUAUUUCUGCAACUUGGUUAUUAUUCUAUUAUUUUUAUAAGAAAAGCAUUAGUCAUUUUUUUUACGACUUAUAGCAUGUUUAGUUGCCGUUCCCCUCUGUUCCUUAAGAACAUAUAUUCUUUUGUUUGGUUCCUACGUGCUUAAAGGAAUAAUCAUACUUUUAGAAUAGUUAUUCUCUAAACUAAGUUAAAAUUAAAGAAUAGUUAAAACCAACACUCCUGGUAUUAGUUAUUCCUUAUUUAAGAAAUAACUUCAAAAAAUUACAAAGAUUAAAAUAUCAUUUAUAAAUUUAAAAAAUUAUAUAUUAUAUAUUAUAAAAAAAUAAUAUUUAAAAUUUAAAAAUUAAUUAAAAUUGUUAAUAUUUGAACCAUAAUAAUAUUUAAAUUAUAAAUAAAAUAUUACUAUUUUAAAAUAUUAAUAAUUAAAUUAUAUAUAAAAUAUUAAUAUUUAAAUUAUCAAUUAUUAAUAUUAUUAUAAAAAAGUUUAAAUUUAUAAUAAUAUAUUAUAAAAAUAUAUUUUUUAUUUAAAAAUUAAUUACAAUUAUUAAUAUUUUAAUCAUAAUAUCAUUUAUAUUAUAAGUAAAAUAUUAACAUUUAAAUGAUCAAUUAUUAAUAAUUCAAAUUAAUUAUAAAUUAUUAAUGUUUAAAUAAAAGAUUAGUAUUUAAAUUAUAAAUUAUAAAUAUUUUAAAUAAAUUAUAAAAAAUAAUAUUUUAAAAUAAAAUAAAAAUAAAUAAUCAUAAUAACAUUAAAUUAUAAAUAAAAUAUUAAUAUUUAAAUUCUCAAGUAUUAAUAUUUUAAAUAAAUUAUAAAUUAUUAAUAUUUAAAAAAUAAUAUAAAAUAAAAAUAAAUAAUCAUAUAUAAAAUAAAAGAUAUUUUUACCUUUUUGUCGUCUAUUCUUUUUUUAUUUCAAAGUUAUUUUUACCAAUCAAACACUACAAUAAGCCAUAAUAACUAUUCCUAACCUAUUCUAUUCGUCGUACCAACCUAUAUAAUAAUUAUUUUAUUCUGUUCUCAUUUUAUUCUAUUUUCACGUAAUAACUAUUCUAUUUUAUUUCUAUCUAUUUCGCUAAUCAAACGUAACCUUAAAGUUUUAAACUAAUCUUCAUCCUAAAAAAAUAUUUGACUUGGAAAAAAAUUAAAAUGAAAAAAAAAUGAGCCUGUAGACUUGCUUGACUCAAGUCAGGUCUAAACAUAUUUUUUAGGCGUCAGCUUAGGAAUAUUAUUAUAUUAUUAAUACAUAAUAUUUUUAUUUCAUUUUAAUUUAAAAUAUCAAAAUAUUAAUAUUUAUAUUAAUAAUAAAAAAUUCAAGUUUGAGUUUAGAUUUUCAAGGUAUAACUAUAACUAGUGCGAUUCAUGAACACCUUUUUAGGACAACUCUCCUUAUGGAAUUAGAACAAACACACACACACAAAAACAUAAAUAAAUGUGCAUCCGAUUAUGAAAUCUAGAUAAGGUAAAAUAUUUUAAGUUAAAUUUGUGAAGUUCUUUAUUAAAAACAAAAAAAAUUAAAUUAAAUUUGAAAAUCUAAAUAGAUAGAUUGAAAGAUCUAAUUAUAUAGGUAAAAUAUACAAAAUUUGAAGUAUGUUUUUUUGAAUUAAAGAAUAGAUUAUCUUUUUCUUCUUUUACUUAUUUUAUACGGAUAUUGUCUUAUAUGAGAUGCAAGUACGUGUGUUGAUAUAUUUUUCAUUGUUUACAAAAAAAAAAACCAAUUAGAAAGAAAAAAUGACAUCAGUGUUCUGCUUUCACUUUGAAAAUUAAUUGUAAUGAUGAAUUAAUAUAAUUAACUACAUCCAUUCUCAGGGAUUAGCACAAAAGCAGAAGAGGAUAAGUAAGAUCCUUGACAAAUUCUUGGAGAAAAUAAUUGAUGAACAUGAGCAAGCAGUUGGGAGUAAUCCUGAGGAGCAAAAACCUCAUAGAAAUUUCGUUCAUGUGAUGGUUUCAUUGUUGAAUAAACCCAUGAAUCCCCAUGAUGAAGAGCAAGAAUACAUAAUUGAUAGAACAAACAUCAAAGCCAUAAUGCUAGAAAUGAUUGCAGCUGGAUUAGACAGUUCAGCUGCAGCCAUUGAGUGGGCAUUAUCAGAACUCUUAAAGCAUCCUCGAGUGAUGUUUAGCCUUCAACAAGAGUUGGAAACUGUGGUCGGAAGGAGUAGAAUGAUAGAAGAGUCGGAUCUACCACAAUUAACUUAUUUGGAUAUGGUUGUCAAAGAAAGUCUAAGGCUGCAUCCGGUUGGGCCGCUCCUAAUCCCCCAUGAGUCCAUGGAAGAUAUCACGAUUGAUGGAUAUUUUAUACCAAAGAAGUCACGAAUCAUAGUAAAUGCUUGGUCGAUGGGGCGAGACCCUGAUGUAUGGUCAAACAAUGCUGAAGAGUUCUUUCCAGAGAGAUUCAUCGAUAGCAAUAUCGACCUUCGAGGACAAGAUUUCCAACUCAUCCCAUUCGGAUCAGGUCGUAGAGGAUGCCCUGGAAUGCAGUUAGGCCUAAUCACAAUUCGCCUAGUUUUAGCUCAAUUCGUACAUUGCUUUGACUGGGAGUUGCCAGAUGGCAUGUUGCCUG